rnacentral:rRNA from 1 species
GCUUAACACAUGCAAGUCGAGGGGCAUCAGGAACAUUGCUUGCUUUCUUUGCUGGCGACCGGCGCACGGGUGAGUAACACGUAUCCAACCUGCCCUUUACUCGGGGAUAGCCUUUCGAAAGAAAGAUUAAUACCCGAUAGCAUAAUGAUUCCGCAUGGUUUCAUUAUUAAAGGAUUCCGGUAAAGGAUGGGGGUGCGUUCCAUUAGGUUGUUGGUGGGGUAACGGCCCACCAAGCCUUCGAUGGAUAGGGGUUCUGAGAGGAAGGUCCCCCACAUUGGAACUGAGACACGGUCCAAACUCCUACGGGAGGCAGCAGUGAGGAAUAUUGGUCAAUGGGCGCUAGCCUGAACCAGCCAAGUAGCGUGAAGGAUGAAGGCUCUAUGGGUCGUAAACUUCUUUUAUAUAAGAAUAAAGUGCAGUAUGUAUACUGUUUUGUAUGUAUUAUAUGAAUAAGGAUCGGCUAACUCCGUGCCAGCAGCCGCGGUAAUACGGAGGAUCCGAGCGUUAUCCGGAUUUAUUGGGUUUAAAGGGAGCGUAGGUGGACUGGUAAGUCAGUUGUGAAAGUUUGCGGCUCAACCGUAAAAUUGCAGUUGAUACUGUCAGUCUUGAGUACAGUAGAGGUGGGCGGAAUUCGUGGUGUAGCGGUGAAAUGCUUAGAUAUCACGAAGAACUCCGAUUGCGAAGGCAGCUCACUGGACUGCAACUGACACUGAUGCUCGAAAGUGUGGGUAUCAAACAGGAUUAGAUACCCUGGUAGUCCACACAGUAAACGAUGAAUACUCGCUGUUUGCGAUAUACAGUAAGCGGCCAAGCGAAAGCAUUAAGUAUUCCACCUGGGGAGUACGCCGGCAACGGUGAAACUCAAAGGAAUUGACGGGGGCCCGCACAAGCGGAGGAACAUGUGGUUUAAUUCGAUGAUACGCGAGGAACCUUACCCGGGCUUAAAUUGCCGUGGAAUGAUGUGGAAACAUGUCAGUGAGCAAUCACCGCUGUGAAGGUGCUGCAUGGUUGUCGUCAGCUCGUGCCGUGAGGUGUCGGCUUAAGUGCCAUAACGAGCGCAACCCUUAUCUUUAGUUACUAACAGGUCAUGCUGAGGACUCUAGAGAGACUGCCGUCGUAAGAUGUGAGGAAGGUGGGGAUGACGUCAAAUCAGCACGGCCCUUACGUCCGGGGCUACACACGUGUUACAAUGGGGGGUACAGAAGGCAGCUAGCGGGUGACCGUAUGCUAAUCCCAAAAGCCUCUCUCAGUUCGGAUCGAAGUCUGCAACCCGACUUCGUGAAGCUGGAUUCGCUAGUAAUCGCGCAUCAGCCACGGCGCGGUGAAUACGUUCCCGGGCCUUGUACACACCGCCCGUCAAGCCAUGGGAGCCGGGGGUACCUGAAGUACGUAACCGCAAGGAUCGUCCUAGGGUAAAACUGGUGACUGGGG